rnacentral:rRNA from 1 species
AGAAUCAACGCUGGCGGCGUGCCUAACACAUGCAAGUCGCACGAGAAAGGGUAGCAAUACCUGAGUAAAGUGGCGCACGGGUGAGUAACACGUGAAUAAUCUACCUCCGAGUGGGGAAUAACUGAGAGAAAUCUUAGCUAAUACCGCAUAACACUUACGAGUCAAAGCAGCAAUGCGCUUGGAGAGGAGUUCGCGGCAGGAUUAGCUAGUUGGCGGGGUAAUGGCCACCAAGGCGAUGAUCUGUAC